rnacentral:rRNA from 1 species
UUUUUCCAUCAUACCAACAUUAAUGCACCGGAUCCCAUCAGAACUCUGCAGUUAAGUGCGCUUGGGCUAGAGUAGUACUGGGAUGGGUGACCUCCUGGGAAGUCCUAGUGUU